ACCAGCUGCCAGAUCACCCUGCAACUCCCACCUGCCAGCCCACUGAAGCUCAGCAGGUGUGAGCCUGGUCAGCACCUGGAUGGGAGACCUCCUGGGGAAAACUAAGGUUGCUGCUGGAA
rnacentral:rRNA from 1 species